UACGAAGGGGGGCUAGCGUUGCUCGGAUUGACUGGGCGUAAAGGGCGCGUAGGCGGUUCGUACAGUCAGACGUGAAAUUCCUGGGCUCAACCUGGGGGCUGCGUUUGAUACGUGCGGACUUGAGUGCGGAAGAGGGUCGUGGAAUUCCCAGUGUAGAGGUGAAAUUCGUAGAUAUUGGGAAGAACACCCGUGGCUAAGGCGGCUCUCUAGUACGGUACUGACGCUGAGACGCGAAAGCGUGGGGAGCGAACAGG
rnacentral:rRNA from 1 species